rnacentral:lncRNA from 1 species
GGCAGCUUUAAGUCCUCCGGUGGAGAGCUUUACUCCUCGAUCUUAGCCUUCUUUCUCUGCUCUGUGGCAAAAGAGAAGGAAAAUAAUUGCUCCGGUAUCAGAUACGAAAUAUUCCUUCCUCGCAUGACCUGUCCAACGGAAAAAGCUCAAUACCGAAAGAUAAAAGGUUGUGGUCAGCACGAAGAGAACCACUCGACGGAGCCAUCCUUCUCAGAAACAUUUCGUCGAACACCCGUCCGACACUCGAUCAUGGUCUUCAUGCGUCGGAUUAGGCAAAAUGUCACUGACACACGAUCAUCAUACCCAAAAUUAAAAUAAUCGUUAUCCAGUACCAUAUGUUAUCAAUGGCCGUCGCCCUCCAUCAGCAACCCCAACAUCCAUUACCCAUUGCUGCUGCAAUCGUCCCAUUCCUUCCUUCACCGUCGCUGUCGCUUCAUUAUUGCUUCCCGUCAUCGCUAGUCUUGGAUUUAAUACCGUUCAUCGCCGACAGGUCCCAUCCAUCAUUUCAGACCAUUCACCGUCCACCUUCCGAACCCAUCGUCCUGGCUAACCCGUUGAUCCACUUCUAUUCGCAUCCGUGAAUUAUCCUUUUAGGAACACGUCGGUCGAGCAAAAUCGAAGAUGAUUAGGUUCCCGAGCAAGAACAGCAAUGUCAGGAGAAGGAGACGAACGAAUUGGUGGACCAGCAUGGUGUCCAGUUGCUUUACUCGCUGUCUUCUUCUUUGAUGCAGCUGGCGCGGCCGGCCGCGUGGGUACUGUGUUAGUCACCC